UACGUAGGGUCCGAGCGUUGUCCGGAAUUACUGGGCGUAAAGAGCUCGUAGGUGGUUUGUCGCGUUGUUCGUGAAAACUCACAGCUCAACUGUGGGCGUGCGGGCGAUACGGGCAGACUUGAGUACUGCAGGGGAGACUGGAAUUCCUGGUGUAGCGGUGGAAUGCGUAGAUAUCAGGAGGAACACCGGUGGCGAAGGCGGGUCUCUGGGCCGAUACUGACGCUGGAGG
rnacentral:rRNA from 1 species